GCCCAACUAGCUCAGUCAGUAGAGCAUUACACUCUUAAUUUCAGGGUCGUGGGUUCGAGCCCCACAUUAGGUG